rnacentral:rRNA from 1 species
AGAGUUUGAUCCUGGCUCAGGAUGAACGCUAGCGGCAGGCUUAACACAUGCAAGUCGAGGGGCAGCGGGGAGGAAGCUUGCUUUCUCCGCCGGCGACCGGCGCACGGGUGAGUAACACGUAUGCAACCUGCCCCUGUCAGGGGGACAACCCGCCGAAAGGCGGGCUAAACCCGCGUACAUGCCACCGGGGCAUCCCGGAGGCAGGAAAGGCUUCGGCCGGACAGGGAUGGGCAUGCGGCGCAUUAGGCAGUAGGCGGGGUAACGGCCCACCUAACCGACGAUGCGUAGGGGUUCUGAGAGGAAGGUCCCCCACACUGGUACUGAGACACGGACCAGACUCCUACGGGAGGCAGCAGUGAGGAAUAUUGGUCAAUGGUCGGGAGACUGAACCAGCCAAGCCGCGUGAGGGAGGAAGGUACAGAGUAUCGUAAACCUCUUUUGUCAGGGAACAAAGGCGGGGACGUGUCCCCGGAUGAGUGUACCUGAAGAAAAAGCAUCGGCUAACUCCGUGCCAGCAGCCGCGGUAAUACGGAGGAUGCGAGCGUUAUCCGGAUUUAUUGGGUUUAAAGGGUGCGCAGGCGGUCUGUUAAGUCAGCGGUCAAAGCCCGGGGCUCAACCCCGGCCCGCCGUUGAAACUGGCAGUCUCGAGUUGGAGAGAAGUAUGCGGAAUGCGCGGUGUAGCGGUGAAAUGCAUAGAUAUCGCGCAGAACUCCGAUUGCGAAGGCAGCAUACCGGCGCCCAACUGACGCUGAAGCACGAAAGCGUGGGUAUCGAACAGGAUUAGAUACCCUGGUAGUCCACGCAGUAAACGAUGAAUACUAGCUGUCCGGUCAGAAUGAUGGCUGGGUGAUACAGCGAAAGCGUUAAGUAUUCCACCUGGGGAGUACGCCGGCAACGGUGAAACUCAAAGGAAUUGACGGGGGCCCGCACAAGCGGAGGAACAUGUGGUUUAAUUCGAUGAUACGCGAGGAACCUUACCCGGGCUCAAACGUAGAGUGACAGACGGUGAAAGCCGUUCUCCCUUCGGGGCAGUCUACGAGGUGCUGCAUGGUUGUCGUCAGCUCGUGCCGUGAGGUGUCGGCUUAAGUGCCAUAACGAGCGCAACCCCCAUCUACAGUUGCUAACAGGUAAAGCUGAGGACUCUGUGGAGACUGCCGGCGCAAGCUGUGAGGAAGGCGGGGAUGACGUCAAAUCAGCACGGCCCUUACGUCCGGGGCGACACACGUGUUACAAUGGCAGGUACAGCGGGAAGCCAUAUGGCGACAUAGAGCGGAACCCGAAAACCUGUCUCUGUUCGGAUUGGAGUCUGCAACUCGACUCCAUGAAGCUGGAUUCGCUAGUAAUCGCGCAUCAGCCACGGCGCGGUGAAUACGUUCCCGGGCCUUGCACACACCGCCCGUCA